rnacentral:rRNA from 1 species
GACGAACGCUGGCGGCGUGCUUAACACAUGCAAGUCGAACGGAAAGGCCCUGCUUUUGUGGGGUGCUCGAGUGGCGAACGGGUGAGUAACACGUGAGUAACCUGCCCUUGACUUUGGGAUAACUUCAGGAAACUGGGGCUAAUACCGGAUAGGAGCUCCUGCUGCAUGGUGGGGGUUGGAAAGUUUCGGCGGUUGGGGAUGGACUCGCGGCUUAUCAGCUUGUUGGUGGGGUAGUGGCUUACCAAGGCUUUGACGGGUAGCAGGCCUGAGAGGGUGACCGGCCACAUUGGGACUGAGAUACGGCCCAGACUCGUACGGGAGGCAGCAGUGGGGAAUAUUGCACAAUGGGCGGAAGCCUGAUGCAGCAACGCCGCGUGCGGGAUGACGGCCUUCGGGUUGUAAACCGCUUUCGCCUGUGACGAAGCGUGAGUGACGGUAAUGGGUAAAGAAGCACCGGCUAACUACGUG